rnacentral:lncRNA from 1 species
CACGCCGGCCCGGGGCCCCCGCCCCCGUGCGGUGCCGCGCGGGCUAUUGUGCCGCCCUGCGCCCGGCCCCCAGCCUCCGACCGGGAAGGGUGGAGGUGCCGCCCCGAGGGUGUCACCGGCCGCUGCACUCCAAAGGACUUUUGGAGGAACUUUGGCACAUAUUUGCCGGGGAAAAUGUCCUGGGCCUGGAGCCACGGUUAAUUAAGAGUUUCCGGAACUAAUUUUGUGUCAAGAGGUGUUGAGAUCUCUCAUGUGGCUCAAAAAUUUGUCAAGAACCUUAAAGAAAGAGAAAGAAGAAAAAGGAAAAAAGAAAGGAGGAAAGGAAGAGAAAUCAAAGGAGCAAAAACGCAGAGCGAUAUUUUCCCUUGACACCCAAGGCCGCAGUAUACAGAAACAGAGACGAAGCCCUACUUCCAUGCUUGGGAGAGAGUACAAUUGA